rnacentral:rRNA from 1 species
GGGGGCCCGCACAAGCGGCGGAGCAUGCGGAUUAAUUCGAUGCAACGCGAAGAACCUUACCAAGGCUUGACAUGGACUGGAAAUACCUGGAAACAGGUGCCCCGCUUGCGGUCGGUUCACAGGUGGUGCAUGGUUGUCGUCAGCUCGUGUCGUGAGAUGUUGGGUUAAGUCCCGCAACGAGCGCAACCCUCGUUCUAUGUUGCCAGCGCGUUAUGGCGGGGACUCAUGGGAGACUGCCGGGGUCAACUCGGAGGAAGGUGGGGACGACGUCAAAUCAUCAUGCCCCUUAUGUCUUGGGCUUCACGCAUGCUACAAUAGCCGGUACAAAGGGCUGCAAUACCGCAAGGUGGAGCGAAUCCCAAAAAGCCGGUCUCAGUUCGGAUUGAGGUCUGCAACUCGACCUCAUGAAGUCGGAGUCGCUAGUAAUCGCAGAUCAGCAACGCUGCGGUGAAUACGUUCCCGGGCCUUGUACACACCGCCCGUCAAGUCAUGAAAGUCGGUAACACCCGAAGCCAGUGGCCUAACCCGCAAGGGGAGGAGCUGUCGAAGGUGGGAUCGGUGAUUAGGACUAAGUCGUAACAAGGUAACCGUAAGGGC